UACGGAGGGUGCAAGCGUUAUCCGGAUUUACUGGGUUUAAAGGGUGCGUAGGUGGGUAGGUAAGUCAGUGGUGAAAUCUUCGAGCUUAACUCGGAAACUGCCAUUGAUACUAUCUAUCUUGAAUACUUUGGAGGUAAGCGGAAUAUGUCAUGUAGCGGUGAAAUGCUUAGAUAUGACAUAGAACACCAAUUGCGAAGGCAGCUUACUACACAGUUAUUGACACUGAGGCACGAAAGCGUGGGGAUCAAACAGG
rnacentral:rRNA from 1 species